rnacentral:ribozyme from 1 species
AAAGGAUAACAAGGGGCCAGAGCAGAAGCAUUCACGUUGCGGCCCCUGUCAGAUUCUGGUGAAUCUGCGAAUUCUGCC